AUGCACGCUGGCGGCGUGCCUAAUACAUGCACGUCGAGCGAACAGACGAGGAGCUUGCUCCUCUGACGUUAGCGGCGGACGGGUGAGUAACACGUGGAUAACCUACCUAUAAGACUGGGAUAACUUCGGGAAACCGGAGCUAAUACCGGAUAAUAUAUUGAACCGCAUGGUUCAAUAGUGAAAGACGGUUUUGCUGUCACUUAUAGAUGGAUCCGCGCCGCAUUAGCUAGUUGGUAAGGUAACGGCUUACCAAGGCAACGAUGCGUAGCCGACCUGAGAGGGUGAUCGGCCACACUGGAACUGAAACACGGUCCAGACUCCUACGGGAGGCAGCAGUAGGGAAUCUUCCGCAAUGGGCGAAAGCUUGACGGAGCAACGCCGCGUGAGUGAUGAAGGUCUUCGGAUCGUAAAACUCUGUUAUUAGGGAAGAACAAAUGUGUAAGUAACUAUGCACGUCUUGACGGUACCUAAUCAGAAAGCCACGGCUAACUACGUG
rnacentral:rRNA from 1 species